AGCGAACGCUGGCGGCAGGCUUAACACAUGCAAGUCGAACGCCCGUAGCAAUACGGGAGUGGCAGACGGGUGAGUAACGCGUGGGAACAUGCCCUUUGGUUCGGAAUAACUCAGGGAAACUUCAGCUAAUACCGGAUAAGCCCGAGCGGGGAAAGAUUUAUCGCCGAAGGAUUUGCCCGCGUCCGAUUAGCUAGUUGGUGAGGUAAUGGCUCACCAAGGCGACGAUCGGUAGCUGGUCUGAGAGGAUGAUCAGCCACCCUGGGACUGAGACACGGCCCAGACUCCUACGGGAGGCAGCAGUGGGGAAUAUUGGACAAUGGGGGCAACCCUGAUCCAGCCAUGCCGCGUGAGUGAUGAAGGCCCUAGGGUUGUAAAGCUCUUUUGGCGGGGACGAUAAUGACGGUACCCGCAGAAGAAGCCCCGGCUAACUUCGUGCCAGCCGCCGCCGUAA
rnacentral:rRNA from 1 species